rnacentral:rRNA from 1 species
GACGAACGCUGGCGGCGUGCCUAAUACAUGCAAGUAGAACGCUGAAGCGAGGAGCUUGCUCUUCUUGGAUGAGUUGCGAACGGGUGAGUAACGCGUAGGUAACCUGCCUUGUAGCGGGGGAUAACUAUUGGAAACGAUAGCUAAUACCGCAUAACAAUGGAUGACACAUGUCAUUUAUUUGAAAGGGGCAAUUGCUCCACUACAAGAUGGACCUGCGUUGUAUUAGCUAGUAGGUGAGGUAAUGGCUCACCUAGGCGACGAUACAUAGCCGACCUGAGAGGGUGAUCGGCCACACUGGGACUGAGACACGGCCCAGACUCCUACGGGAGGCAGCAGUAGGGAAUCUUCGGCAAUGGGGGCAACCCUGACCGAGCAACGCCGCGUGAGUGAAGAAGGGUUUCGGAUCGUAAAGCUCUGUUGUAAGUCAAGAACGGGUGUGAGAGUGGAAAGUUCACACUGUGACGGUAGCUUACCAGAAAGGGACGGCUAACUACGUG